GACAGAGGAUGCAAGCGUUAUCCGGAAUGAUUGGGCGUAAAGCGUCUGUAGGUGGCUUUUCAAGUCCGCCGUCAAAUCCCAGGGCUCAACCCUGGACAGGCGGUGGAAACUACCAAGCUGGAGUACGGUAGGGGCAGAGGGAAUUUCCGGUGGAGCGGUGAAAUGCGCAGAUAUCGGGAAGAACACCCGUGGCGAAGGCGGCUCUCUGGGACGGUACUGACGCUGAGACGCGAAAGCGUGGGGAGCGAACAGG
rnacentral:rRNA from 1 species